rnacentral:rRNA from 1 species
CCUACGGGGGGCAGCAGUGAGGAAUAUUGGUCAAUGGACGAGAGUCUGAACCAGCCAAGUAGCGUGAAGGAUGACUGCCCUAUGGGUUGUAAACUUCUUUUAUAUGGGAAUAAAACGUUCCACGUGUGGGAUUUUGUAUGUAACAUAUGAAUAAGGAUCGGCUAACUCCGUGCCAGCAGCCGCGGUAAUACGGAGGAUCCGAGCGUUAUCCGGAUUUAUUGGGGUUAAAGGGAGCGUAGGUGGAUUGUUAAGUCAGUUGUGAAAGUUUGCGGCUCAACCGUAAAAUUGCAGUUGAAACUGGCAGUCUUGAGUACAGUAGAGGUGGGCGGAAUUCGUGGUGUAGCGGUGAAAUGCUUAGAUAUCACGAAGAACUCCGAUUGCGAAGGCAGUUCACUGGACUGCAACUGACACUGAGGCUCGAAAGUGUGGGUAUCAAACAGGAUUAGAUACCCCAGUAGUC